UAGGGAAUCUUCCGCAAUGGACGAAAGUCUGACGGAGCAACGCCGCGUGAGUGAUGAAGGUUUUCGGAUCGUAAAGCUCUGUUGUUAGGGAAGAACAAGUACCGUUCGAAUAGGGCGGCACCUUGACGGUACCUAACCAGAAAGCCACGGCUAACUACGUGCCAGCAGCCGCGGUAAUACGUAGGUGGCAAGCGUUGUCCGGAAUUAUUGGGCGUAAAGGGCUCGCAGGCGGUUUGUUAAGUCUGAGGUGAAAGCCCCCGGCUCAACCGGGGAGGGUCAUUGGAAACUGGGGAACUUGAGUGCAGAAGAGGAGAGUGGAAUUCCACGUGUAGCGGUGAAAUGCGUAGAGAUGUGGAGGAACACCAGUGGCGAAGGCGACUCUCUGGUCUGUAACUGACGCUGAGGGACGAAAGCGUGGGGAGCGAACA
rnacentral:rRNA from 1 species